rnacentral:rRNA from 1 species
AGAGUUUGAUUCUGGCUCAGGAUGAACGCUGGCGGCGUGCUUAACACAUGCAAGUCGAGCGAAGCAUAAGAGAGGAAGUUUUAAAUGGAAUCUAUUAUGACUGAGCGGCGGACGGGUGAGUAACGCGUGGGGAACCUGCCCUAUACAGGGGGAUAACAGUUAGAAAUGACUGCUAAUACCGCAUAAGCGCACGGAGCCGCAUGGCGCUGAGUGAAAAACGAUAGUGGUAUAGGAGGGACCCGCGUCUGAUUAGGUAGUUGGUGGGGUAACGGCCCACCAAGCCGACGAUCAGUAGCCGACCUGAGAGGGUGACCGGCCACAUUGGGACUGAGACACGGCCCAAACUCCUACGGGAGGCAGCAGUGGGGAAUAUUGCACAAUGGGGGAAACCCUGAUGCAGCGACGCCGCGUGAGUGAAGAAGUAUUUCGGUAUGUAAAGCUCUAUCAGCAGGGAAGAAGAAGGACGGUACCUGAGUAAGAAGCCCCGGCUAACUACGUGCCAGCAGCCGCGGUAAUACGUAGGGGGCAAGCGUUAUCCGGAUUUACUGGGUGUAAAGGGAGCGU